rnacentral:rRNA from 1 species
CUACCGAUUGAAUGGUCCGGUGAAGUGUUCGGAUCGCGGCGACGGGGCGGUUCGCCGCCCCCGACGUCGCGAGAAGUCCAUUGAACCUUAUCAUUUAGAGGAAGGAGAAGUCGUAACAAGGUUUCCGUAGGUGAACCUGCGGAAGGAUCAUUG